rnacentral:sRNA from 1 species
AUUGGUUGGUGGUUUAGUCCCUGGGAGCUCUGAGCUGAAGGGGUUUACAACUAUUACUAUUAUUCACCAUUGGCCACCUUGACUUUCCUCUUCUUCUACCCGUAGGACAAUCUUUCCACCCCCAAGAAGUGUUUUCCGUUUAAAUACCACUUUGACCUUGAACUUUGAAAACUCCAGGUGCCAUCCUUGAAUGGGAGAAGUCUGAACACAGACACUGUUCCUACUUCAAGUUGGGCUCUUCAUGGAAACAUGUACACACCAGGCAUGCGGGCAUGCAGCCCACAGGUGAGGAGGUCAGAGGACAAUCUCUAUGAUGUAGGCGGAGGAGAUUGAACUUGGGUCAUUUGGUUUAGAGGCAAGCACCUUUACUAGCUAAGCCACCUUGCCUGCCCAGUAACUGUGAUCUCAAUUAAAACAUGUCCCUUCUGGGGAAAGAGAAAAGCUACUCUGUCUUAGAAAAUCUCUUCCUAACAGAAGUCCCCGACUGUCCCGUUACACCUGCAAUGCAAACUGUCUUACAGGUAGCAGAGCAACACUGGCUGAAGGCUUCCGGGGAUGGGCGCUGUUUCACCUACUUUGUUUACACUUUCUCCUUCAGUCUUACGGCUCUUGGAAGCUAUUAUUACUAGCAUCCCUGUUUUCCUGAGGAGAUGAAGGCCGAAUGGAUUAAGGUACUCUGUCAAGGUUACUGUAUCAUUAGCAACCGGUCUAUUAAAACCCAGCAGAAGUAAGGAUGGAGCCUUCGGUGAUGUCAUUUCCAUUCCAAGUUGGGCCGUUGUCCAGAUGUGCAAUACCUUCUCUGGGCCUCAGUUUCCUAACAUUGGGAAGAUUCAACCACCCUCGAGGUUGCGUCCCGGCCUGAGGCUUGGCGCCUGCUGCGGCUGCCCUCAAGGAGGGCGGCUUUGUUUUGAGUGCUCAGCUGCUCUGGCUGGGCCACCCCGGGCUCUGCCCUGUUUUGUUUCUGCUGCUGGACCCAGUACAGACACAAUCCUGGCAGCGGCACAGGGGAGCCGCAGAGGCGUCCUCCUUCCCCCGAACUGUUGGCCGUUUCAGUAUGAACCAAAAGGGUGUGCGGGGGCCAACUGGCAGAAGUGCAUAACUAGCAGCAGGAUUCUCCCGGGAGCCACAGAAGGGCGGGCACGCCUUCUGCCCAGCUCACUGCGAAGGUUGCUCUGGGCACGCCGUCACCAGUGGUGUCUGUGCUCGCUUCCCUCUGGGCAGGGGAGACUGCUUUGGUGAGAGACUGAUUACUGGGAGGUAAUGAAGGUUCUGUGGUUCCACGCCAGCAGCUGACCGCCCAGGGACAGGAGAUGGAAAUACCGAUCAGCAAAAGCCACAUCCAAACCUCACAGCCUGGACCUCCGAGUAGGCUGCAGAAGCAGCCCUGCCAGACGCUGCCCUCAGGCCACGUCUGUGCUAAGGGAAAAGACUGCAGUUGCAAGAGGGAACUGUACCCCUCUCCUCAUAAGCUGUAAGACUGGGUUCUAGGCUAAACAGGGCCCUUCUCUGGUGCUUGCUCUGUGCAGGAGUCUGGGACGUGGAGGGUGUUCUAGUUCUUUCCCCUCCCUCUCUCUCCCAUGGCCUAGGACAAGGCUGAGGCCUGAACCUUUCCAAUCAGUACUGAAUCAUUCUGCUACUUAGUAGCAUGCCAGAGGAGUGGUGGGAGUAAUGUUUUGUUUUGUUUCGUUACUAUUAAGGAAGAUUACUUCAUAAUCCUUUAAAUGUUUUUAGCCAAGUGUUAUUUACAUAUCUUGGCCAGCAAACACGUGAUUAACACUGCAGAGAGAAGGCUGUGGGACUCAGGAGGCACAAACAGCAUCUGCACCACGGAAGGAACUGGACAACUGUGCAAACUGGAAACACUCUGGGACGAGGAGAAGCUAUAGAGCACAGCAAUAAUUCACUUGGAAUGCUGAGGAACGGUCACACUUAAUGCUGCUGGGAGACUGGCAUUUUUAGGAUUGCUACUCAUCAAAUUGUUUUUACAUGAAAAGAUGUCGGACUGAAAAGAAUGUAAAAUAUUCUGGAGAUGGGUUGAGUUUGCAUCUUCACUCCGUGUUCCCAUCGAAAUACAUAUGUGUGGACACGUGUGUAUGUGGACAUGCUCCAUGUGUAUAAACAUAUUUAUAUGCACACUUAAAAUAAUGCUCCUCUAAAACAUUUUACUAGUUUUGUACUUGGACUUUUGUUUCAGACUUGAAAAGUGUAGUUUCUAAAUUGUGGCAAUUUUUAUACAUGCAAAUGAAGACAUAAAUUAAUAUUUAUUCCUCCUUGGAAAGUCUAGGGGAAACAUAUUCUAACAUGUUUUAUGCUUAGUUAAUGCUCUUGACCCAUUUUCUCUGGAUCAUAUCAUAUAUAUAAUAUUGUAUAUAUAUAUACAUAUAUAUAUAUAUCAAGUAUAAUACCAUUUAUUCAAAAGAGCUUGACUUUCCCUUGGAGUUGGGAAUAUUGAUAUAGGUUAUUGAUAUAGAUGUAUAGAACAAAAUAAAUUAUUCUCUUGUGUCAGGAAUGAAAGGAAAUAGCUUGAGAAACCCCACAGACUCAGUGCCGUAUUACUCAGGAUACCUUUGUGGAGGACAGCGUUUGCAGGAAGAGGCUUUAGUCUGGGUGGGUUUUGCACUUGUAUCUUCCAGCCUGUAUAACAUGACUGGAGCCUUCAGCUUCUGAUCAGUAUGGAAAAAAAAAAAAAGAGAGAGAAAAUCUUGCAUUGAAUUUAAGUGCAGAGGCCGGGAGAUUAUCAGGUGAGUGGGCGCACCUGUGUUCCUUCACAGCACUUCACCCUAAAUGCCUGGGCUGGCUUUGGGCUUCUCCAGCAGAGAGCAGUGAAACACCACAGGAGACUGCAAGCUAGGGCCCCCGCCAAAGUAGAACUGGCGGGCCCCGCAGACUCACAAAGAAUCUGCAUUUACAGAUCUAAAAAGUAGAUAUUCCUGGAAAGAUCUGAUGCACUGGAAAUAUGCACAUCACCCCAUAUAUUUAGAUGGUUAACUAUUACUGCCACUUAGAAAUAAGGAUGUCUGCUCUUGAAUCCCAGCACCUACCUUUGCAGAUCUUCCUGCUCUCUUUGCUGACAGCACAAUAAAGCCUUAGGGAAUGGUAAGGCAGUGCAAACAUGAUUGGAGGCAACACUGUUGCAAAAAAGAUACAUUUCUGAAAGACUGAAAACCGCUUUCAAUGGCUAGAGUUCAAGACCAGGUUCAUGGCAGGGGCAGGGGGUGGGGGGAAGGGUGCUUCCAGGUGAAGUGAUUUAUGGCACUAAACACAGACUUGUUUACAGUGUAACACAGCAUAGGCUUGUUAACAGAGUAACACAAAUGGAUGCCUGCUACCUCACUGCUAAGCCAGGGUCGGGCAGUGCCAUAGCGGGUGCAGUGUAAGUAGGUUCCUCCAAUCAACAAACCCCAUGACAGAGUAUGAGUGAACAAUUGUGCUUCACUGCUUUGAACAAAAACAGCCAUUGUCACCAAAGGAUGUAAUGAGGAUUUCCAGUUCCAUGAUGUGGCACAAGCGAUCUGAUCUACUUUUCUUAGGUGCAAAGAACUUUUUUUUUUUUUUUUU